rnacentral:lncRNA from 1 species
AUCCGUAGCCAUACAUCAGGAUUACUUCCACGAUGGGAAGGUAUCAACAAAUAUUACAUUUUUACAUACAUAUCGAGGUGCGAAUUAUUACAGACCAUAGUUUGAAACAAACUUAACAAUGCAGGUUAAACAGUUCUAAGAGUUUAAAACAUAGCUGGUCUAGGCAAGUCAAACAACCGAGUUUUAUUUCUAGGGUAUUGUGAGACUCGUAAAAAUACCCUAGUUCUUCGAGGCUUCUCCCUCGGCAGACUCCUGCUGAGGUUCUGAAAUAGCAAUGAAGGAUUCCCCUGAGUACGGGUUACUCAGCAAGACUAACCCAACUAACCAAUAUAGAUAGUUUUUCCAAAACUAAAUGAUAGCUGUUUAGUGUACUGGCUGACUCACAUUUUGCAGAAAAGAGCUUACUAUAAGUGGAACCUUAGUUUUAUCUUUUAUUUCAGAUUGAGUUUGUUACCUGACCAGUCUAGAUGGCGAAAAUAUUUUUGCAACCAGAUGGAACUAAGUCAUACAGCACAUUUAAUUUCGGAAAAAACGUUGCAUUCAACUGGAUUAAUUCAUAACCGAGAAUUGCGGUGAUCCGGAUCAAUUUACAUCCUGUAGGAGAUACCCUGACCACCAGCUAUGUACAACUGUCCAGGUUGCACAUAACAAUCUUUCGAUUAGCCGCACCCAAAGAUUGGGAAUAUGACUACCCGAACCUAGGGACGCACCCCCACAUGGGACCCUACGUCUGGCCUGAUCUCCAUGUGAGUUUCCGGCUACGCCCCUGCCAUUCUCCAGCACGUCAAGCACGUGUAUGAAAUAUUUCCGAUCAGAGAGCCAACUAACCUACCGGGCUUUACUGGUCCAUACCCAGUAAGCAACCAAGUAAAACUCACUUGAUCAAAGGUUAAGACAACGAUCGGGCCUUAACCAAAUUAACUUAGCAAAUAGAACUGCCAUCUCUAGCUUCUGUCUGCAUUUCCAAUUUCCAGGCUAUUUUCCUUGACCAACAUGUAUGACCAAAUUUACCUUAGAGCUAAGCAACCAAGUUGAUUGAAGUAUCUAAGCAUUGCUAAGCAUAGAAUAGUUACUAAUUAGUGAACAAGUGGCAAAGGUGUCCUCUAAACAAGGUAGGAUCAUGCACAAGAGUAGGUUUCAAUCAACUCCUAGACUUAAUGCAUUCAUAAAGAAAAUAACCAAUAAUUGGACACAUGAAAUAAUAACCCCAAAGUAGGUAGGCAUAGAUGCAUCGGGGCUUGCCUUGAUCUGUAAAAAGGUUAGUGCUGUCUGACGGUCCGGCUUCACAGGGGAUCAACUCAACAAUCUCCUCAAACUCCGAAGGUUCUUCAGAUAAAUCCAAGAAUUCCACUUCUGGAGCUUCGGUGUCUACGAUUUAGUAUAUGCAGGAGUUAGAGAUGUAAAUUUUUGAACACAUGACUAUACAACUUUCCUUCAUGAUAAAGUUGCAAGCCAACAAGUGACUAUACAAUCUAUCUUCAUGAUAAAGUUGCAAGCCAACACUAAACUACCCAUAAAGAUUAACCCACCAUUUUUAAUCUUUUUACUAACCUACCUUAGGCCCUUUUCUUUUAUUUUUAGAAAGCAUUAUAAUUAUUUUCUAAUCUCAAAACUUAAUUCCUAUAGCUUAAUAAUAAUUUGUGAAUAAGAAAACAUUAUUCAAAAUUUUUAUGUAUUUUAUAAAGGUUAAGCAUUUAUUUAAAUACCUUAAUCAAAAGGCAUUAAAAAAAUACCUAAAUUUUAUUAUUUUUCCUAAGGUUUAAAAUUUUUAAUACAUAAAAAAAAUAAAACAAUCCUAACAAAAUUAGUUUCACUAUUUUUGGACAUUUCUAGAAUUUCCCGUGAAUUAAAUGGUGAAAACCGAAUUUGAACUGUUUAUCUACAAAAAGGAAAACAUAUGAUUAUCCAAAACCUCGGGUCAAACUUUUUUUUUACUACACUCCUAUCUACCCUCUCUCUCUUGCAUUGGGCUCCUUGGGCCGGCCCCUCUUUUCCUUUUCCUAUCUACCCGCCGGCCCACCCCCUUCUCUCUCCUUUUCUUUCCCUGGCACGUGGGCCCUUGGCGCCAGGGGCUUCUUCUUCCCUGCGCCCAAAAGCAAGGCACGACAGGGGAUGGCGGGGCUCGAUGGCCGGUGCCCUGCCGGCGACGGGGCCAGGCCGGGGAGGCACCCCCAGGCCACGGCGCACCUGUGGGCGGCGGCGGCCCCCCUGGAGAUGGCCUGAGCCGGUCUCUCCAUGGCGGCGGGUGGCUUGGUCGGCGGCCGGCCGUGGCCAAGCAUGGCGACGGCACACACACGGCCCUCGGCUCCUCCUACGACUCCCUAGAGACCCCAAGACUUACCUAAAACUUACCAGACAACAAGAGGAUGGCGGCAAGGAGGGGCUCACCGUGAGCAGGACAUUGGCGGCGGGCUGACGGAAACAACGGCGAUUAGGAGCUCGCCGGCGGGGGAACUGGAAAAACGGGGAGGCGUGGGUGUUGGCGAGGUGCUGGUGGGGAUUUAGGUGGGAGGAAUCGAUGGGGAAGGCAGUGGAGCGGCGGAAAUCGGCCGGCAACCGAAGCUUGGCCGUGCUCUGCUCGUGACGGUGAAAACAGAGCAGCCCGGUAAAACGGAUAAACUCGACGGCGGGAGCAGUACAUAUACAAAAGUUUUACCGCGUGCAUGAGUGCCACCUCGGCGGCUUGUAGGCUUGCAUGGGUGCGGACGUGGCCCAACGCAUCGCGCUGGCCGGCGGGCGAGAGUGGCGGCGGCGGCACGACUCUGUCUCCUGCUCGUCCUGUCUUUCCUUCUUUCCAUUUUCCUUUGCUCCGAAGUCUACUCCUCCAAAUUGGUCGAUUUCGAAUCCUACGGUCCAAAUAUCCUUUAAGCAAACUUGUAGAGGAAUUCUAUCACUUCAAUUGAUAGAUUGGCCUUUACCCGAGCUAAGCACUCUAGGACCGAAAUUUUUAACCCCAAGUUCGGCAAAACCGAACUGUACUGAAUCCCUUUGAUUCAGUUCGUCAGGCACUAUAACAAGACCAUUUGCCCUUCUUUUAACUCAAUUUGAGUAGCUCAAACUUGCUCCAUAUGGUUCAACCCUCAUCUAUUUGUGUUCUAUAACUAACAAAAAUUCCAUUUUGCACAUGAACUCAUAUACCCUUUGCACUAUAUUUCCCUGAAACUUGCUCCAAAUAUGAUCAUCCACUGCUGUUUCAGACUUAGAAAAAUUACUUCAGCAACUAGGCUGAAAUCUGCUUAAUUGCUGAUUUUGAGUUUCAUUUUAAAUUUGAGUCCUCCACUUUCUCUAGCCAACAUCUCACUAAGCUUCUCCGAAGACCAUAUUCCACUAAUGUUUAAAAAUAUUUACCCACUGAUAUGAAAAAUUAUGCAGGAACUAAUUCCAAAGUUAGGUACUCAUUCUGAUUUUCAGAAUCGCGUAUUUUCGGACGGAAAAUAAUAACUCUGUUGAUUCCUUCUUCGGUUACAUUCUUGAGGGGUUGGAGACUGGUUUAAGACUAGAAUUAGUCUCCAACUGCACUCCUUUGAGUUCUAAACACCCUCAAGCCUCAACUUCAUAUUUUUGCCAAAUUUAUCCAAAUUUGAAACUCCAAAAUGCAAUUUCGGUCAAAUUUGGCUCGAAUUUGACUUUGAGUCAAUAUUACCUUUCUUCUACUCCAAAGCUCAUCAUUAACUCUUUAUUGACAUCCUUAGGCUGUCAUUAACACGAGGUGUUACACCUUAGCACAUUUUUCAUUAAGAAGAAAGCAGUUUACAGACACAAUCUCGAUGAAGCUAAACAAAGCUUGACCAGCACAAGAGGACAAAGGACCAAAGAAAGAGAAACACUCAAGAAACGCAAAAACAACCACCAAACGACUCAAAGCAAUAAAGAGGAAGCACACUCGAACCCAAAACCUCAUCAAGGGUGCUAAAGGUCUCAGAACCGCAAUGGUGGCAAAGCAUCUACCCAAACAUCAGGAUCACGACGGCAAAGCAUCCGCCCAAACACAACAACGGUGGCAAAGCAUCCACCCAACCAGCACGACCAUGGCGACAAAGCAUCCGCCUGAAGCAACCAACGACGAUGGCAAAGUAUCCGCCAGAGCAAGAACGGCGGCAAAGUAUCCGCCAGAGAAGAGGGGACGGCAAAGCAUCCGCCAGACGACGACGACCUAAGCAACCCGGGCGAGGUGGACAAUCGAAGCGAAGGCAGGCGCAGAAGAAGACACUUCCCAAGGAGAGUAGACGAUCACCAUGAGGACCUUGAUCGGCUGGAGACGACUGGGGGCAAUGUUCAACAACGGUCCCUGAAGUGACGGCAACAAGAACCCGCAGAGCUUCCUAGACGGUGCAGAGAGGAGGCGACGCAACUGGCGCCGUCGUCGUCUGACCAACACGGUAAGGCUUUCACCUGGAAGCUCAUCGAAGGGAAGGGAAAAGGGGAAUGAAUGAUGCCUUCAAGAAGGGAAGCGGCACCCGGGGGCGUCGCCGUCAUUGAUCCGCAAGGAGGCACAAGGCUUUCUCCUACACCCCGUUCCCUCCCCAGAAAUCACCACCGCCACCAGGAGCACGGGGACCACCGGGCGCCAAGGAGCCGAAGAAUGCCGCCACAACCGCGAGCUGGGAUAGCCAUUUGGCCGGUCCCCCCCCCCACCGGUGGAAGAUGGCGCAGCCACCAGAGAGAGGUUGGGGGGGCACCCGGCCGGUCACGUGGCGGUGGGGCACGGAGCCCCGCCCCUGACGGACCCGAUAGCCGGGGAGACAGCAGCCACCCUCGCCGCCCGCCCACCAGUAGUGGAAGGGGCGGCAAGGGGAGGGAUGCGAAUUCGACUACGGCAAGUGCGGAUCCGGCCGUCGAGGAGGCAGCAGCCUCCUGACCGCGGUCCCCUGUCCUCCAGUCGGUGGAAGGGGCAGUACGCGGAGGUCAUCGUCGGGAAAGGGACCCCCACGCCAAGGAUGUGUAGAUCCGGGCUCAAAGGAGGUGGAUCUGCCAUCGGCUGCCGGCGCCGGCAGCGGACCCAGACGACCGGCGGCGCCUAGGGUUUUCGGAGUGGGAGUGGAGAGGGAGAGAGAAGGAGGGAAGGGGAGGGAGAGAGCGUGAUGCGGGGGCUGGCUUUGGCGCCGCUGCUGGCAGCCGCCGCCGCCAUCGGCGGCGGAGGCAGCCGUCGGAGUAAGGCGGGUGGGGUUGGUGUGGGAGGACGGCGCGGCCGAGAGGUGGAUAGCUACAAACCUCUGCUCGACCCUAACUGUGUUAGAUAUCGGUUGAAGAUUGAAGAUACUUGGGAUAUAAUUUGGGAUGGAGGGAGUACGUCUAUUGUUAUCACGCUGUCAUGACAAAACAGUGUCUAGUAGCAGGGUAAAUAGUUGUAAAGAACAAAAAUGAUGUGGCCAGCUCAGUCGAAUGUACAUCAGCAAGCAUGGCGUCACGGCGGACGUCGCCUGUGCAGAGAUAGAUUCCCUGACUGAAGAUGCAUGGAAAACCAUAAACAGAGCACGCUUUGAGAACAAUGAACUACAGCAGUGCAACGAAUUUUCAACCUAACUGUCAGCAUGCCAUUAAUGUACGGUGAUAAGAAGGAUGUAUUCACAUUCAGCGACGGGCUCAAGGGGGUCAUCAAGCGCCUGUUUCUCAAGCCUGUCCUGCUCUAGACAACAGAAUGCUGCUAAUUCUAUUCACACAGCCCGAAGAACGAGCUGUGUAUCCCAGACAAAUAAAAGAUGUAUUCGGAUUAAACAUAGGGUGACCAUGUACUUGUAACUUGUAAGCAUAAGUUUAUGUUAUAAAUAUUACAUGGAGUAUUUACAACAAUACAUACUAUCGUCUUAUCCGCGUGAUAAAUAAUUCUUCUGAUAAAAGAUGACACUGGCACACUCCUUUCCUACCUCCAGUGCAUUUUACAUAAGAGCACCCAGAAAAUGACUAUGAUCUCCUUCUAGAUAUUCACGGUAAAAGCAAGCAUACCGGGCUAAAAAAAUAGCGAGGUGGAUUUGGUCCCUAAGCCCAUAGUGUUUAGUGUAAACUGCAACGAAUCCUGGACAUUUCGGCUGGUUCAAUCUGCUACACCGGAAUCAUAACAAAGACCGUCGUCCCCAAAUCGAAGUCAGCGGGGAGAGGAGGGCAAAGAAUUUACCGAGCGAAGGUGUUUCCGGCUGCCGGCUGCCGGCCAUUCUUCCUUUCGUGGCGAAUCAGGAGGGCACACCGACGACGAACGGCGAGGCCGCCGCCCCG